ACUAAGGUUUUUUUAAAAACCAUAUUCUUGCAAAAUUACUUGCCUU
rfam:Chlorocebus sabaeus isolate 1994-021 chromosome 10, whole genome shotgun sequence.